GACGAACGCUGGCGGCGUGCUUAACACAUGCAAGUCGAACGGUGAAGCGCCUUCCUUUUUGGUGGGUGUGGAUGAGUGGCGAACGGGUGAGUAACACGUGAGUAACCUGCCCCCUUCUUCUGGAUAACCGCAUGAAAGUGUGGCUAAUACGGGAUAUUCUGGGUCUGUCGCAUGAUGGGUCUGGGAAAGCUAUUGUUUCGGGGGGGGAUGGGCUCGCGGCUUAUCAGCUUGUUGGUGGGGUGAUGGCCUUUCAAGGCGGUGGCGGGUAGCCGGCCUGAGAGGGGAGACGGUCACACUGGGACUGCGACACGGCCGAGACUGCGACGGGGGGCAGCAGUCGAGAAUAGUGCACAGUGGGCACAAGCCUGAUGCAGCGACGCCGCGUGAGCGAUGGAGGCCUUCGGGUUGUGAACCUCUUUCGCCAGUGAAGCAGGCCUGCCUGGUUUGUGGGUGGGUUGACGGUAGCUGGAUAAGAAGCGCCGGCUAACUACGUG
rnacentral:rRNA from 1 species